rnacentral:rRNA from 1 species
AAGCCUACGGGAGGCAGCAGUGGGGAAUAUUGCACAAUGGGGGAAACCCUGAUGCAGCGACGCCGCGUGAGUGAAGAAGUAUUUCGGUAUGUAAAGCUCUGUCAGCAGGGAAGAAAAUGACGGUACCUGACCAAGAAGCCCCGGCUAACUACGUGCCAGCAGCCGCGGUAAUACGGAGGGCGCGAGCGUUAAUCGGAAUUACUGGGCGUAAAGCGCUCGUAGGCGGUAUGUCAAGUCAAGGGUGAAAUCCCCGCGCUCAACGUGGGAACUGCCUUUGAAACUGGCAAACUGGAGUGUGUGAGAGG